UACGUAGGGCGCAAGCGUUAUCCGGAAUUAUUGGGCGUAAAGAGCUCGUAGGCGGUUUGUCGCGUCUGCCGUGAAAGUCCGGGGCUCAACUCCGGAUCUGCGGUGGGUACGGGCAGACUAGAGUGAUGUAGGGGAGACUGGAAUUCCUGGUGUAGCGGUGAAAUGCGCAGAUAUCAGGAGGAACACCGAUGGCGAAGGCAGGUCUCUGGGCAGAUACUGACGCUGAGACGCGAAAGCAUGGGGAGCAAACAGG
rnacentral:rRNA from 1 species